rnacentral:rRNA from 1 species
GACGAACGCUGGCGGCGUGCCUAAUACAUGCAAGUCGAGCGGAAGUUGGAGAGCUUGCUCUUCAACUUUAGCGGCGGACGGGUGAGUAACACGUGGGCAACCUGCCCUGCAGAUCGGGAUAACUCCGGGAAACCGGUGCUAAUACCGAAUAGUUUUCGCCACCUCCUGGUGGCGUACGGAAAGACGGUUUCGGCUGUCACUGCAGGAUGGGCCCGCGGGGCAUUAGCUAGUUGGUGGGGUAACGGCCCACCAAGGCAACGAUGCGUAGCCGACCUGAGAGGGUGAUCGGCCACACUGGGACUGAGACACGGCCCAGACUCCUACGGGAGGCAGCAGUAGGGAAUCUUCCGCAAUGGACGAAAGUCUGACGGAGCAACGCCGCGUGAGUGACGAAGGUUUUCGGAUCGUAAAACUCUGUUGUGAGGGAAGAACAAGUACCAACUAACUACUGGUACCUUGACGGUACCUCACCAGAAAGCCACGGCUAACUACGUGCCAGCAGCCGCGGUAA